rnacentral:ncRNA from 2 species
AUUAUUUAAAGUAGUAUAAGUUAAAUGAAUAUGGGUUAAGGGAAAUCCGUGCAAGCGGAUGCGGUCCCGCCGCUGUAACCGGGGACGAAAGCUCAAAAGUUUGCCACUGCCUAAAUUUAGGCGGGAAGGCAUGAGCAAGUAGGUUGAUCCGGAAGUCAGAAGACCUGCCUAUAUUUUCCUCGCGGA